rnacentral:rRNA from 1 species
AUGGAGGCGGAAGGCCUCUCCGGUGAGAUCCCACCCUGCAUCUCCAACCUCACUUCUUUGGAACUUGGCCGGCUCUCUAGACUCCGGUACCUCAACCUCAGCUUCAACAUGCUGAGCGGCACCAUCCCGUUCAGCAUUGGGACGCUUCACAACCUUUCAUCUCUAGACUUAGGAAACAAUAGACUUUCUGGUGAGAUUCCACCGCUCCUUGGGAGCUCAAGGGCUCUAGAAUCCGUGAGUCUUACCAACAAUCUUCUUGACGGGAAAAUCCCACAAUCAUUGGCAAAUAGUUCCUCAUCCCUCACCACACUCUUGCUUGCGCAAAACCAGCUACAAGGAUUCAUUCCAGAUUUUGGUAAACUGUCACGCCUAGAGAUCCUUGACCUCUCCUAUAAUAACCUAUCAGGGACAGUGCCAUAUGUUGGCGCCGCCUCCUCGCAGCGCCGCUCCUUCUUCUACCUCGAGUUGCCUCUCACAACUCUCUUCUCCCUCUCACACAAUUCUCUUGUGUUUUCUCUCAAGAACUCUCUCAUGAGCACACACACACACGCACGCAUGGACCAAGGAGGAGCACGAAAGCUUUGCCAUAGGCUCUUCUCCUUGGCGAACACACAAGCUACAUAUUUUCUGCUGGCCCUCACAGCCCCAUCUUUCUCAUUCAUUUGUUGUGCUUAA